rnacentral:rRNA from 1 species
UACGGAGGAUGCAAGCGUUAUCCGGAAUGAUUGGGCGUAAAGCGUCCGCAGGUGGCUAUGUAAGUCUGCUGUUAAAGAGUCUGGCUCAACCAGAUAAAGGCAGUGGAAACUACAUGGCUAGAGUGCGUUCGGGGCAGAGGGAAUUCCUGGUGUAGCGGUGAAAUGCGUAGAGAUCAGGAAGAACACCGGUGGCGAAAGCGCUCUGCUAGGCCGCAACUGACACUGAGGCACGAAGGCCAGGGGAGCAAACGGG